GGAAAGCAAGCCAGUGAGCAGCAUCCCUCCAUGGACUCUGCAUCAGGCCCUGCCUCUGGGAUCCUACUUUGUCUGAGUUCCCUGUCAUGACUUCCCUCAGUGAUGAACAGCAAUGCUAAAGUGUUGUUAAUUAUUGUGUUCUGGAUGUCACACACGAGAGCCACAGAUGCAUCCACUUUGGCUAGCUCCUCUAUCACUAUGACAGAGCAGAAGAAGGAAGCUCCAGUUCCUCCAUAUUUUUCAUCAAUUCCAAUGCUCAUCAGCUAAAAGAAUGACAGAGGAGGAAACAUGAGACAGGAACAUGAUAUAUGCAAGAGGCUCCAGACCUACAUCUGGCUCUCCUGGAACAGCUUCGAAAAAAAGCAAUCCCUCAAUCCCAUUCAGAGCAAAAAAAUAUAAAUAAUAUGGAAGGCAUAAAAUGAAAAGUGAAAGCUGUAUUCUCCUAUCUUGGAUUUUUAAUUCAUCUCCCCAAAGUUAAUGUCUGGAGAGGUGCAAAGGCCACUGAAUUAUUUGUCAUACUGACUGGAGCCGGCUUCGAGGAUUUUAGGACACGAGGAGGAUCCUUCCAAGAAGACAAGCACAUUGG